rnacentral:rRNA from 1 species
UACAGAGGCCACGAGCGUUAGGCGGAAUCACUGGGCUUAAAGCGUGUGUAGGUGGAUGGCUAAGUACCUUGUGAAAUCCCACGGCUCAACCGUGGAACUGCUCGGUAUACUGGUCGUCUUGAGGCACUCAGGGGCGAGCGGAACAGAUGGUGGAGCGGUGAAAUGCGUAGAUAUCAUCUGGAACGCCAAUGGUGAAGACAGCUCGCUGGGGGGUGUACUGACACUGAGACACGAAAGCCAGGGGAGCGAACGGG